rnacentral:lncRNA from 1 species
AUUUAUGGAUUUUUUGUAUACUAUAAUGCUUUGAUUUUCCUGUCAUUAAUCAAUUAGACUAUAAAUUUAUUUUUUCAAAAUAUAAGUUUAAUAAUAGAAUUACAUAUGCGCUGUAUUUCAAAUGUUAGGUUUGAUGUAUGAUGAUGAUUUGAUUCAGGAAAUCAAAAAUCGAAAUUUAUAUUCAUUCAUUUAGAAGGAAAAGUAUUUGAUUUUGGAAAAGUUGUUUCAUAAUUUCUCUAAUUCACUGUGUCCUCAUUUAAUUUCGCCUCAUUUAACACAUUUUAUUACGUGGCAAGCAAAAAUAAAUUUAAAAAUUUAAAGAUACUUGUUCACGUGAUUAGUCCGUAAAUUCGUAUCUGGUGGAUUUCGUGAACUGCUAUGGGUUCGCAGGAAACGAUGAAUAUAUUCUCAGAGAUUAAGAAAACUAUUAUUGGUUCUGUACAAGUUUUUCCAAACAUUUUUGUGGAAAUAUGCAUUUCAAUUAUAAAAUCGUUGUCACCUUUGUUUCAAUUCCAAAUAACCUGCGAGCUUGGUUGUUUGGAAUUUUACGAUAGUAACAUUACAGAUUUACAUCGAUAUUGAAAUAUUACAAAAUUUUUUAUAAAAGAAUACAAGAAUAACCUGCCCGUUGAUCUGUCUUUAUAAGAACUUAGAUUCAUAUUUAUAUGGAACUCAAAAAAUAUUAGGCUCUCUUCAUACUGCCAACGACAAUGACCAAAGACUACUUAUUUUCACUUAUCGCUUGGCUGUUCAUAUCGGUUCGAAGACGACUUCGAUAAUUUAUGUCGUAGUCGUCUUCGAAUAGAACGUUUGUACAUGCUCGAUAUUUAUAUCGAACAUGUGCGAACGUUUGUUUUAAUCAUUAAUGGUUUUGAUAGUUAGAAAAUAUAGAUCUGCUUGUACUAACGUUAGUCCUUCGACAAAAAAAAUUAUUACAUUAUUAAUAAAUCCC